GAUGAACGCUGGCGGCGUGCCUAAUACAUGCAAGUCGAGCGAACAGACGAGGAGCUUGCUCCUUCGACGUUAGCGGCGGACGGGUGAGUAACACGUAGGUAACCUACCUAUAAGACUGGGAUAACUUCGGGAAACCGGAGCUAAUACCGGAUAAUAUUUCGAACCGCAUGGUUCGAUAGUGAAAGAUGGCUUUGCUAUCACUUAUAGAUGGACCUGCGCCUAAUUAGCUAGUUGGUAAGGUAACGGCUUACAAAGGCAACGAUAAGUAGCCGACCUGAGAGGGUGAUCGGCCACACUGGAACUGAGACACGGUCCAGACUCCUACGGGAGGCAGCAGUAGGGAAUCUUCCGCAAUGGGCGAAAGCCUGACGGAGCAACGCCGCGUGAGUGAUGAAGGUCUUCGGAUCGUAAAACUCUGUUAUUAGGGAAGAACAAACGUGUAAGUAACUGUGCACGUCUUGACGGUACCUAAUCAGAAAGCCACGGCUAACUACGUG
rnacentral:rRNA from 1 species